CCUACGGGCGGCAGCAGUGGGGAAUAUUGCGCAAUGGGGGCAACCCUGACGCAGCCAUGCCGCGUGAAUGAAGAAGGCCUUCGGGUUGUAAAGUUCUUUCGGUGACGAGGAAGGUUGUUGUGUUAAUAGCGCAACAAAUUGACGUUAAUCACAGAAGAAGCACCGGCUAACUCCGUGCCAGCAGCCGCGGUAAUACGGAGGGUGCGAGCGUUAAUCGGAAUAACUGGGCGUAAAGGGCACGCAGGCGGCUAUUUAAGUGAGGUGUGAAAUCCCCGGGCUUAACCUGGGAAUUGCAUUUCAGACUGGGUAGCUAGAGUACUUUAGGGAGGGGUAGAAUUCCACGUGUAGCGGUGAAAUGCGUAGAGAUGUGGAGGAAUACCGAAGGCGAAGGCAGCCCCUUGGGAAUGUACUGACGCUCAUGUGCGAAAGCGUGGGGAGCAAACAGGAUUAGAUACCCCUGUAGUC
rnacentral:rRNA from 1 species